GAUGAACGCUGGCGGCGUGCCUAAUACAUGCAAGUCGAGCGAACAGAUGAGGAGCUUGCUCCUCUGACGUUAGCGGCGGACGGGUGAGUAACACGUGGAUAACCUACCUAUAAGACUGGGAUAACUUCGGGAAACCGGAGCUAAUACCGGAUAAUAUAUUGAACCGCAUGGUUCAAUAGUGAAAGACGGUUUUGCUGUCACUUAUAGAUGGAUCCGCGCCGCAUUAGCUAGUUGGUAAGGUAACGGCUUACCAAGGCAACGAUGCGUAGCCGACCUGAGAGGGUGAUCGGCCACACUGGAACUGAGAAACGGUCCAGACUCCUACGGGAGGCAGCAGUAGGGAAUCUUCCGCAAUGGGCGAAAGCCUGACGGAGCAAAGCCGCGUGAGUGAUGAAGGUCUUCGGAUCGUAAAACUCUGUUAUUAGGGAAGAACAAAUGUGUAAGUAACUAUGCACGUCUUGACGGUACCUAAUCAGAAAGCCACGGCUAACUACGUG
rnacentral:rRNA from 1 species